rnacentral:rRNA from 1 species
AUAUCAGUCAUGCAUAGCAUAUCAAUAAGCGGAGGAAAAGAAACUAACAAGGAUUCCCUUUAGUAACGGCGAGUGAAGCGGGAAGAGCUCAAAUUUGAAAUCUUCAAGGUUUUACCUUGACGAAUUGUAGUUUAAAGAAGUGUUUUCUGUUGAAGUUUUGGUAAAAGUUCUUUGGAAUAGGACAUCAUAGAGGGUGAGAAUCCCGUAUUUGACCAUUACUUUCAGCUUUGUGAUACACUUUCAAAGAGUCGGAUUGUUUGGGAAUGCAGUCCAAAAUGGGUGGUAAAUUUCAUCUAAAGCUAAAUAUUGGCGAGAGACCGAUAGCGAACAAGUACCGUGAGGGAAAGAUGAAAAGAACUUUGAAAAGAGAGUUAAACAGUACGUGAAAUUGUCAAAAGGGAAGCGUUUGACACCAGUGUUGUUUUCUCGAAAAUCAAUUAAAAAGAGUUGGAUUUUGUGUUGUAUUGACUUUAUCAGCUUUCUUCACUCUUUUCCAGCUUUUUUUAAUGCACUUUUCGUUUAACAAGUCAACAUCAGUUUCUUUUGUUGUAAAAAGGUCAUUGGAAGGUGGCUUUCUCUUCGGAGAAAGUGUUUAUAGCCUUUGACUCAUGCAAUCGGAGAGACUGAGGUCUGCAGCGUAGAUCCUUCGGGGUUAGAUACAUUUGUGCUAAGUUAUAGCUUUUCAUAGACAACUUGUUGACUAUGUUUAGUCUUGUAGCUUACUCGCUUAUGCUAUUUUACCUACGCUUAGGAUGUUGAACUCUAUCACACACA